UUUGGGCUGAGUUAAAUCACGGGUCAAUUAUGACCCACAAACGCAAAAGAUGUGUGCAGCUUUCUAACACAUUACCAAGGUUAAUGAUAAAGACA